UACGUAGGGUGCAAGCGUUAAUCGGAAUUACUGGGCGUAAAGCGUGCGCAGGCGGCUUUGCAAGACAGAUGUGAAAUCCCCGGGCUCAACCUGGGAACUGCAUUUGUGACUGCAUGGCUAGAGUACGGUAGAGGGGGAUAGAAUUCCGCGUGUAGCAGUGAAAUGCGUAGAUAUGCGGAGGAACACCGAUGGCGAAGGCAAUCCCCUGGACCUGUACUGACGCUCAUGCACGAAAGCGUGGGGAGCAAACAGG
rnacentral:rRNA from 1 species